CCCCCCGGGAGCUGUGGGCCGGGAGGAGGGGAUUCGGCGCAGCCCGGCUGGGGCGCUGCGGGAGCGGCGGCCUCGACCCACUAAGCUGCGCUGUCAGCGAGAGAGAUCGGAAGCCGCCCGCAAAGCGGAACCUCGUGGACCGAGGAGGGUCGCAGACUUGGGGAAAUGGAGGCCACCCACCCCCCCACCCCCGCCCCUUCCCCUCUUCGCGCCGACAGCAGCUUCCCGCGCCCCGGCCGCCUCCAUGCCCUCACUCAGGGCACUCGCCCCGCCCCCGGCCGCCCGGAGUUGUCCUCCCCGGGGGCCGAGGUGGAGUUAACGUUUAGAAGGCCGGCAGCAAACUGGGGUGCCUGUCCUGAUAGUGACGAUGCCAUCCUCCUCUGAGUCCAGGAAAUAGAAAUUGUGAGUCCAGUUCCUCAUCCAGGAAAGAGGGCAGAGCAUGGAAGAGCCGGGGCUCGGUGCCUACUCCAGGAUCAUCGUGGGGAAGGGAUCUGGCCCAUGCCAAGUGUCUGCUGCUCCAUCAAGUAGACUGGGUAGGAAUUGGGGCCACCCUCAUCCGCUGCAUCAUUGUCCCAGGUGUCCUGGGUUAGUGUGCGGCGUGUCCGCAUCAUAUAGGAGACCUGUGAUUGGGAUGAGAAAGGAGGAAUAAAAACCAUCUGCGAUUUGUUUUUCUCAA